rnacentral:rRNA from 1 species
AGAGUUUGAUCAUGGCUCAGAAUGGACGCUGGCGGCGUGCCUAACACAUGCAAGUCGUACGAGAAAUCCCGAGCUUGCUUGGGAGAGUAAAGUGGCGCACGGGUGAGUAACGCGUGGGUAACCCACCUUCGAAUCUGGGAUAACUCCGCGAAAGCGGUGCUAAUACCGGAUAAGACCACAGCCGUUUCGGCGGCAGAGGUAAAAGCUGACCUCUCCAUGGAAGUUAGCGUUCGAGGACGGGCCCGCGUCCUAUCAGCUUGUUGGUGGGGUAAAGGCCUACCAAGGCAGCGACGGGUAGCUGGUCUGAGAGGAUGAUCAGCCACACUGGAACUGGAACACGGUCCAGACUCCUACGGGAGGCAGCAGUGAGGAAUUUUGCGCAAUGGGGGAAACCCUGACGCAGCAACGCCGCGUGGGUGAAGAAGGCUUUCGGGUCGUAAAGCCCUGUCAGGUGGGAAGAAACCCUUCAGCACUAAUAAUGCUGAAGCCUGACGGUACCACCAGAGGAAGCACCGGCCAACUCCGUGCCAGCAGCCGCGGUAAUACGGAGGGUGCAAGCGUUGUUCGGAAUUAUUGGGCGUAAAGAGCGUGUAGGCGGUUCGGUAAGUCAGAUGUGAAAGCCCUGGGCUCAACCCAGGAAGUGCAUUUGAAACUACCAGACUUGAGUACGGGAGAGGAGGGGGGAAUUCCCGGUGUAGAGGUGAAAUUCGUAGAUAUCGGGAGGAAUACCAGUGGCGAAGGCGCCCCUCUGGACCGAUACUGACGCUGAGACGCGAAAGCGUGGGGAGCAAACAGGAUUAGAUACCCUGGUAGUCCACGCCGUAAACGAUGAGCACUAGGUGUAGCGGGUAUUGACCCCUGCUGUGCCGUAGCUAACGCAUUAAGUGCUCCGCCUGGGGACUACGGUCGCAAGACUAAAACUCAAAGGAAUUGACGGGGGCCCCACAAGCGGUGGAGCAUGUGGUUUAUUCGACGCACGCGCAGAACU